rnacentral:rRNA from 1 species
AGUGAACGCUGGCGGUAGGCCUAACACAUGCAAGUCGAACGGCAGCACAGGAGAGCUUGCUCUCUGGGUGGCGAGUGGCGGACGGGUGAGGAAUACAUCGGAAUCUACCUUUUCGUGGGGGAUAACGUAGGGAAACUUACGCUAAUACCGCAUACGACCUACGAGUGAAAGUGGGGGACCGCAAGGCCUCACGCGAUUAGAUGAGCCGAUGUCCGAUUAGCUAGUUGGCGGGGUAAUGGCCCACCAAGGCGACGAUCGGUAGCUGGUCUGAGAGGAUGAUCAGCCACACUGGAACUGAGACACGGUCCAGACUCCUACGGGAGGCAGCAGUGGGGAAUAUUGGACAAUGGGCGCAAGCCUGAUCCAGCCAUACCGCGUGGGUGAAGAAGGCCUUCGGGUUGUAAAGCCCUUUUGUUGGGAAAGAAAUCCUGUCGAUUAAUACUCGGUGGGGAUGACGGUACCCAAAGAAUAAGCACCGGCUAACUUCGCGCCAGCCGCCGCCGUAA